CUUCCAGACUAAAUCUAUUCUUAAAUGGGGUUGUAUUUCAGAAAACAAACAGAAAGAGUGGAAAUGUCCAGGAUGUAUCAGCCUCACCUUGCUGAUGGGUCUGGAAGAGGUUGAUACUACAUGCUGGAACCAGACCUGGUCAGUCUGAAGCAGGGUUGUUUGUGGCCCAGCAGGGGAUUAAGUCAGAGCUCGAGGCAGCAGUGAUAACGGUCUCAGAUCCUGGGAGAGACAGGAGAAGAUUCCUCUUAACCACUGGGCAAGGCCAGUGUGGCUUCCUGGAUGUCAUCAUGGACAGCUUCCAUAAUCAAAGCUUUCAAAAGUCUUUUCUAGGGUCUGGGUUGCAAAGAUGAGUCCCCUGGAAGAACAUUGUCCAACUCACGUCCUGUGUCUCACAUAGCCCCUCUCUCCUGCUUCCAGAAGUCUUGUUGAAAUUCCAUUCACCUCCAAAGGGCUUUGACUGGGAUCAAAGACUCCUGUGGACUCAAAGGCAUGGUUUGCAAGCCCCUUCCUCUCUGCUUAGAAAGUGUAGAGUGAGCAUAUGUCUCAUCCCCAAAAGCAAAUGAAAGCAGGAGAGCGGUGAUUAGUGGGACCCCAGCCACACACCCUCUACCCCAGUGAGCCAAGACAACUGCACCAGAGACUUCCUUUGCUUUGGUCAGCCCAGCAACUACUUACAUCCGUUAUCUUUUUCUGCCAGAGAGUUGAGCUCCGAGGUUGUCUGCACAUCGUCCAAGAUGCCUCCUAGGCUGCUGCAGACUCAGGACCAGAGGUCUCCAGAGCAGAUGUUUAUGAUGGGGCAGUCAUUCCUUACAGUUCUCUCUAAGCCACACCCUUCACAGUUGUCUAGCUCAGGCUCCUCUACAGGGUAGCAGGGCCAGCUUUGGCUCAUUUCCACCUUUGGUUCUGCCCAGCCAGGUUCCAAAAGCUUGCCAAGUUGCUGAAGGUCAGCCAGAGACCAUAUGUACCAUGUGGAGGUGAGGCAGGGUAGAGUGUGAGCCAGCAUGCUGAGAUGACUUUGCAGGUUAAGCUGGGGUCACACACUCCCCUCGGGGCAGGAGGCCUGUCCUGUUGCCAGUUCCCCGAUACUACCUGUGCUGGAGGACGAGGUGAGCCACUGAGCUCAGCCCCCGCCCUUGCCAGGCAGCCUAGGGACAGCACUGUUUCUUUCUGAGAGGCCUGGUUGCACAGUAUCGUCUACACACAUCUUACAGCAAGUCCUUGUUCUGCACCAAGAGGACCCCAGGAUUCAGAAAAACAAGGCCAAGAAGCAGCAGGAUGGGUCCAGGGUGACUGAUGGACAGACUGAAGCCCUACAGAGUAUGUGGCUUUGGGAUGUGUCCAGCAAACCCACCUUCCUUCCUCCUGGUACCAUGCAGGGUGCCACUUCCAGUUUCCUGUCACACACAUCCUGAGGGGCCUUGCAGAAGCUUCUCGUGGCCUUGACCGUGCAGACCAUCCCUUUGAGAGGUAGAUGAAAAGCUGUCGUCAUUGCUCCUUCUCCCUGGGAACACAAGCGAACAGAUCCAUGCAUCAACCCCCACUUAGCAACAGCCAGCUCGAGUCCUAUAAUUACCAGCAUGACAGGGUCUGUCCCAGCUGGAGCCAGAUGGGAACUAUGCUGUGAGAGCCUCUAAUUACACAUCUCUGCCAGGAGAACCAGAACCCAGGACCGCCAGCCCAGGAAUGGCAACACCCACAAUGGACUGGACCUUCCCCAUCAAUCUCUAAUUAAGAAAAUGCCUUACAGCUGGGUUUUAUGGAGAUCUUUUUUCAAUUGAGGUUCCUUUCUCAAUUAUCCUAAAUUGAGUUGACCUUCAGAUAAUUCUAGUCUCUGUGUCAAGUUGACAUAAGACUAGCCGGCUUGCUGGGGUUUGAUGGAAAGCUGGUUCCCGGGAGGACCCAUGAAACUACCUGGCUAGGGAAACACUUGACACUUUCCUCAGUGGCAUGUUGUUGUAGCUGGGUUGUCCUCACCCAAGAGAAGGAGGCCAGGACGAACUCUUUACGAAGGGCACACACUCGUGACAACAUGACUACAAGUCUAGAGGCAGACCUGAGCUGAGUGAGCAGAGACUUUAUGCAGGUCAAAAACCAUGUGUGUUACAUCCUGUUGACGCAGUGGUGGCUGUUAGGAAGCAGGACAUGAACUUUAAAUAAGAACGGGGCACAGUUGUGUCCCCACGGUGUUUCGGUUAGACUGGGGAGUAGAGUGGUUACAGAAACAGAGGAUGCAGGUUAGCAUAAGUUCCUGUAAGUACUGUAUGUGCCUGAGGGUCAGGCUGACCUCAGGUGAUUUAGCAAAUAUGCUGUUCUCACUUCAGCAUUCUCAGCUGACCUGCAGCCUUUGGAGAAGGCUCCAUCAUUAGGUGGGACCUUGGGAGCCUUAGCGGCACCUCCCUGAUCUCUGGCUUCUCAUUCUAAAUAAAGCUGCGCCAGGAAUGCAGGCAACAAGGCGGGGAAGGCUGCUAGCCUCCGGCAGGUGUGUUGUCUGCACAUCUGGCCUGGCUUGAUGUGGAAUAUCCCUUACAGGCUGCUGGGUGUGAACAUUUAGUCCCCAGCCAGUGGUGGUAUCGAGGAAACUUAUGAAAUCUUUGGGAGGCGGGGUCUGGCUGGGAGAAGUUUGACAGGCCAGCCCCACUAUCUGUUUAUUCUCUGCUUCCUGACUUUGGAUAUAAUGAGAGCAGUUGCCCGUGCCAUGACUAUGCCAUCAUGGUGUCUGGUAACCAGGAACACUGCUUCAAAAGAAACCUUACUACCAGGCUUUCCUCACAGCACUGGGGGAAAGUCGCUGCGGCAGCUCCUUAGAGAUCAGCAUCUCCCGAUGAAAAGGCAAAGUCUCUCACACCCACGCUACCACCUGCAAUCCCAGAAGAGGCAUGAAGGCCAGCCAGGCCCUGGUUCUUCUUGCCAAACCACAAGAACCACCAAGUGGGAGCCAGGGGGUUUAUCCAGGGCCUGAGAAAGUUGAGGGGGAGAUGCUGUGCAGUGAGAUUCUGGGCUGCCUGCCACACUGCAGAGGUGCAGGGGCCAAGCACGGGAAUGUUCAUUGUCUGAGAUUCCUGUUGGGCCGGUUGAGCUUGGCACCUGCCUCCUCCUCACCCCUGGUCCUCCUGGGAUCAAGGUCAUCCUGAGAAUGAGAAACUAGAGCAAGCACCCCAGAAUCUUGAAAACAGCCAUGCCCUGGGGAAGUCAGGCAUUCAGAGGGGAUGGAAUGGCAUCUCCCUGGCACCUAUUGGAGCUGGAUAGGUGGCUUAACGAAAUAUCAGCACAAAGGUGGCCAGGUGUGCCUCACCAGCAUGGUCACACCCCUCAGAGACCACACCAGGCUUUGUGUUCAACCCCCACGUACCUCCCUGCAGUGGUUUCCUUCUGGUUACCCCCUCCCCCUGUCCCACUUCACACUGGAACCUGUGGGAUGCCCUGCCCCCAAAGCUGUGACAUACCAUCCACAAGAAGUUGGCCAUUCUGAUCUUCGUUUAGACACGUCCACAUAAAAACACAGCUGGUUCCU